rnacentral:rRNA from 1 species
AGGACGAACGCUGGCGGCGUGCCUAAUGCAUGCAAGUCGAGCGACGAAUAGGUGCGGGUAACCAAGCCUAUUACGGAGCGGCGAACGGGUGAGUAACACGUGAGCAACCUGCCCCGAAGACCGGGAUAGCCCAGGGAAACUUGGAUUAAUACCGGAUAUCCUCCUUUGAUCGCAUGGUCGUUGGAAGAAAUGCUUUUACGCUUCGGGAUGGGCUCGCGGCCUAUCAGCUUGUUGGUGGGGUAACGGCCUACCAAGGCGUCGACGGGUAGCUGGUCUGAGAGGACGAUCAGCCACACUGGGACUGAGACACGGCCCAGACUCCGUACGGGAGGCAGCAGCAGGGAAUUUGCGCAAUGGGCGAAAGCCUGACGCAGCAACGCCGCGUGGGGAUGGAGGCCGUUCGGGUUCGUAACCCGUUUAGGAGGUACGAAGUUGACGGUACUCCGAAGAAACGCCCGACCAACUACGUGCCAGCGAGCCGC